UACGAAGGGGGCUAGCGUUGCUCGGAAUCACUGGGCGUAAAGCGCACGUAGGCGGAUCUUUAAGUCAGGGGUGAAAUCCUGGAGCUCAACUCCAGAACUGCCUUUGAUACUGGGGAUCUCGAGUCCGGAAGAGGUGAGUGGAACUCCGAGUGUAGAGGUGAAAUUCGUAGAUAUUCGGAAGAACACCAGUGGCGAAGGCGGCUCACUGGUCCGGUACUGACGCUGAUGUGCGAAAGCGUGGGGAGCAGACAGG
rnacentral:rRNA from 1 species